ACAGCCUAUAGACGAGUAGUGGAGGGGUGUGUUAGAGUUCAGUUCUUCUCUGCAGGCCUGGGAGUGAGGUCUGAUCAGCAACUACUGUAAGGAAAGGGAGGACUAUCAGCCUUGGGCUGGGAAUCAACUGGAAUUUCCUUACCUGUGAUGUGCGGAGAUCGCCAUCUGGUGUGCAACAUGGAAAGUUCACCUUGAUGCACAAUGCAGCAAGAGCAGCAGAUCCAAAACGAAUGAAAGUAGAUGUGCCUUCAAGGACCAUGAUGUUUUUUUAAACACCGUGUUUAAAUUUUUUUAAAAAAUUGAAUGAUUACACAUAAAAGGGCAAACAAUUACUUUACCUAUAUCAUAUUGCAACUAAUAAAAGUUUAUAAUGUCAAAGAGCA